GUCUUUGUGGCGCAAUCGGUUAGCGCGUUCGACUAUUAACCGGAAGGUCGGUGGUUCAAGCCCAUCCUUAGGCG
rnacentral:tRNA from 1 species